UACGUAGGUGGCGAGCGUUGUCCGGAUUUACUGGGCGUAAAGCGCGCGCAGGCGGACUGAUCAGUCUGGGGUGAAAUCUCACGGCUCAACUGUGAGCGGUCCCUGGAUACUGUCAGCCUUGAGAUGUCUAGAGGAGAGCGGAAUUCCCGGUGUAGUGGUGGAAUGCGCAGAUAUCGGGAGGAACACCAAUGGCGAAGGCAGCUCGCUGGGACGGUACUGACGCUGAGACGCGAAGGCGUGGGGAGCAAACAGG
rnacentral:rRNA from 1 species